rnacentral:rRNA from 1 species
UACGUAGGGGGCAAGCGUUGUCCGGAAUCAUUGGGCGUAAAGAGCGUGUAGGCGGCCCGGUAAGUCCGCUGUGAAAGUCGAGGGCUCAACCCUCGAAUGCCGGCGGAUACUGUCGGGCUAGAGUCCGGAAGAGGCGAGUGGAAUUCCUGGUGUAGCGGUGAAAUGCGUAGAUAUCUGGAGGAACACCGGUGGCGAAGGCGGCUUUCUGGGUCUUACCUGACGCUGAGGAACGAAAGCUAGGGGAGCGAACGGG